rnacentral:lncRNA from 1 species
ACCCUUAGGAGCUUUCAUGUUAUUAAAUCAAGAUACUCACUUGCACACAUCUACUACACCAUCCAUCACCAUUCAUUCAAAAACUGCUAAAAAUAUUGUUAUCACUCACUGUCCCAAGUGUUGUUAUUCUCUCUCCCCAAAAAGAUUCAAUGCAAAAGAGGCAUGGGUUAUGCAAAAAUAUACGAGGAAAUAAAAAGGGGCAAGUGCCCGGAACCUCAAAAAAGAAAGAAAAAGAGUGAGACGAGAGGUAAAAAUGGACAAGUGUCCGCAGUAGAAUUAGGGGUACAAAGAUGCCCACCUGAGUGGAAAAAUGGACAAGUGUCCGACAGUAGAAUUAGGGGUAUUUACUACCCAACUGAAAAAAGAAAGAGAGAAGAAAAGAUAGCCCAUGUUCUCACAAAGCAAUGAUCAAGAGAGGAGGAGAGAUAGAAAUAUGAGGAGCAAUGAGAAGUAAGUUUUAUCAUCACAUACAUUUUUACCAUUACUAUCAUUUACUCCACC